rnacentral:rRNA from 1 species
UACGUAGGGGGCUAGCGUUGUCCGGAAUCAUUGGGCGUAAAGCGCGUGUAGGCGGUUCGGUAAGUCCGCUGUGAAAGUCGAGGGCUCAACCCUCGAAAGCCGGUGGAUACUGUCGGGCUAGAGUGCGGAAGAGGCGAGUGGAAUUCCUGGUGUAGCGGUGAAAUGCGCAGAUAUCAGGAGGAACACCGGUGGCGAAGGCGGCAUCCUGGACCGGCAUUGACGCUGAGGCGCGAAAGCCAGGGGAGCAAACGGG